GACCCAGGAACCCCCUCCUCCACUCCCCCUUCCUCGGCUCUGUGACCUCAUCCCGCUGGAAUGUGCUCUCCGUGGAAGAGAGCAGUGAUGCGCAGAGCUCGUCCACCGCUGGCUCUCUGGGGGGCCAUAAUCACAUUCUUGCUGUUUAUACAGUGUCUGGAAGAAGAAUGGGUCACUAAUUUGGAUGAGGAAGCUGUGGCCUCUCCCUUCCCCUGUGCUGUAGCAAGCUAGAAAGACUUCUGAAUGCACUGAAAUUUGGGGCCUUUGAAAGGAGUCCCUGAAGUUCAUCCAUUGGAAUCUUCUUUGGCUUCCGCUCUGACGGCUCUAUGUGACAGCCUCCUGGCCAGUCUUCCUGUCUUUAGUGGCCGGCUAGUUUCAGAAUGGACACCCAGUUCCUCAUGGUGGCCCCCAUGGUCCUCUGCAGCCCUGGUCGCUCCAGUUACUGUGUCCUCCAGUGUCGUGAAACACAAGAGGUUUCUCCCCAUGCUUUGUCUCCUCUCCCUGUGCGCAGGCAGCUUCUCCCUCCCGUGUUGGUCAUUCCCAUUGGCCCUUCUCUGUCUGGACCCCUACCUGCCACUCCUGAGCUGGACCUCUGGCUUCCUGCUGUAUUUGAUCACAGUGAGCUGGACUCAGAGAAGGGAGAAGGACCCUUCCUGCCUGCCCGGGCCACAACCCCAACCUGUGCCGUGUGACCUGGCUCAUCCUGUGUGUGAGAAAGGGCUCCCUCCCCUUGCUCCUCACACCUGAAGGAGGUGACUGUCACCGGCCCCCAGGUACAUCACCUGCUCCUGUGUCUGCCCUCUGCCUCGGUAAUUCUCCCUCGAAGGAGCUGCCAGUUCCUGCCAGGAUCCCAGCUGCCUGAACAGCCCGGGCUGCCCGCUGUGAGCCGCUCGCUGCAAACCCUCCUGCAGGCACAGAUGCACCCUUGAUUGGACCUCCCUCCCCUGAGCCAGUCAGAUUCUGAGCGAUCCAAGCUUCACACGUUUGCAGGACUCCGGGAAGCACUGUUGAAACUGCCGUGCUCCAGGACACACAGCUUACUUAGAACCCAGCCUCUCAUGUGCCCUAGGCCUGUGUGACAGGGUCAGACCGUGUUGGUCCCUGAGGUCACGCGAAGUUGCAUGCGGCAGUGGCCUCAGCACCCUGGACAGCAGAGGGUCAGCACCUAAGAGUCCUGCUGGGGAGAAACACCUGCCCAGACAAGGGGAUGGACAGGCCACAAGGGACACAGGCCCCUGAGGAAGAAGGAGAGCUGCAGGACGACAGCCCAGUGCCCUUGAGUUCUGCCUGUGCUUUCUGUGUCCAUCUGGAAGAUGCUUCUGUAUCUUUGCAAUACGUUUCUCUCUCACUGUCACAGGCUUCUGUCCUUGACAACCAAGUGAAGCUAGAUCAGGCCCCAAAGGUUUUUCUUCUUCGUCUUCACCUGGAUCACACCUCUCCUUCUCCCAGACACCUCCACUGUGAGCCCCGGUGGGGAAGUCUUCCCAGGACCGCCAGGAUAGCAUGGGGACCCCUGCCCUGAGCUCUUCCUUCAACCUGCUCAGGUUGUGUGUAAGGGCCUGCCUCCCACCCAACUCUCAAGUGUUCUGCUGCCCCCAGGUGGUGACAUGGGCAGGAGGCCCCUUGAAACAUCUCUGGUUCAAGGUCAAAGCCCCAAGCAGCACAGGCAUUGAACUAUCACACAGUAUCCCAUCAGUAUGUACAAUUAAAGUAUUACAUAUUAACUAAAAAGAAAAACUAGGGCCGGGGAUUUAGCUCAGUGGUUCCACCGCCUGCCCUGCAAGUGCAAGGUCCCGAGUUAAAUCCGUGGUUCCAGAAAAAAAAAAGAAAGAAAAACUGAAAUGAAAUAAGCCAGGGACCUUGGGACCAAAUGUCAAGAUGAAGGGGAGAAGGAGCAAGGAGCGUUGGAGCUCAGAGAGCUGGUCCUGCCCUGUGGCACAGUAGCAGCUGCAGCUCAAGGCUCCAUGCUGGGCUGGCUGCCCUCUCUACUUGCUGCUGUGCUCGAAUGGAGUGGAAAUCUCUUGAGGGGAGGAAGCGUAUCCCUCUGCUGAGAAAGUGAGAGGCUCAUUAUUUCACUGAGAUUUCAGACGUUGUGUUCAUUUGCUAUGGCUGCUCUGAAACUACACGAACCAGGUGGCUUAACAACAGAUAUCUUGGUCUCACAGUUCGAAAGGCUACAAAUCCAAGAUCAAGAUAUCCACGGAGCUGGUUCUGUCUGGGGCUUGUUCCAUGGCGCUCGGCUAACUUCUGGCAGCUGCCUGGCAGUAGCCGUGUCCUUUGGCUCGAGACACAUCACUCUCUACCUUCCCGUUCACAUGGAGUUCUCUCUGAGUGCUCAUCGCUGUCCAGAAUCUCUCCUUUUCUUAGGACAGAACUUGCAUCCAAUUGGAGACCCACCCUAUUCCAAUGUGAUCUCAUCUGAAUGAAUGACAUUGGCAACAGCCUUGUACUGUGUGUAGCUCCGAGGGCCUGUGGGUCACGACUCCAACAUGUGAAUGUCAGGGGUACAAAUUCAGCCCAAAACAGGUGCCAAGGGCCAGGUUGCCUCAGCAGCUGGAUGGUUUGUGAGAAGGCCCGGUCUCUUUUCUGUGCAUGCAUUCAUUCCCCAAAUCUGGUUCCCUCCUCAAAUGCUAGCUUUCUAACCUAUGUUUCUAACCUAUAGCUGUUCGUGUCCUUGCAAAAUGUAUGGGUUUAUAUUUCUAAUUCAC
ensembl:lncRNA